UACGUAGGGGGCAAGCGUUGUCCGGAAUUAUUGGGCGUAAAGCGCGCGCAGGCGGUCCUUUAAGUCUGAUGUGAAAGCCCACGGCUCAACCGUGGAGGGUCAUUGGAAACUGGGGGACUUGAGUACAGAAGAGAAGAGUGGAAUUCCACGUGUAGCGGUGAAAUGCGUAGAGAUAUGGAGGAACACCAGUGGCGAAGGCGACUCUUUGGUCUGUAACUGACGCUGAGGCGCGAAAGCGUGGGGAGCAAACAGG
rnacentral:rRNA from 1 species